UCAUUUUCACUGCUUGCCCUUUCUCUUCUUCCUCAAGCUGAGCACUCAUCUCACUUCUCCUCCACAAAUCCCAUCCAAUAGCCCAAGAUCCAGCCCUGCAUGUCAUACCACAAGAUCCCCAAGAUUCUAAGCUUUCCAUCCAUCCAAAUAGCUUGCACAUGCAUGGAGAGUUGAGAGAGAUCCAGAAGGAAUAAGAGAGUGGUGUUUUCCAGCAGCAGCAGCACUAGAAGGUGGCUGCAACUCACCCCGAUUUCAUCUCUUUUGAUUUCGGUUUAAGCAGCCCCUAAGUAACAUCUUUUGCCAUCAGCCCGGGGCUUUGCUUCAUCUCUUGCCGUCAUCCCGAGGCCUUAGCCUUGCACAACACCACGUCCAGGCUGCUGCCAUGUGAACCAAGUCUGGUGGAAAUUGGAGAAAAAGGGGAGUGAAAAGAGAAAUCGAUUUUCUAAAAUAGUUUGAGCUGAAAAAGAUUUGGAGAAUCCGGAGAGUACCGAGCCAUAUCCAGAGGAGGAUAGUGACUACCCUCAGCAAGAAGG